UACGUAGGGUCCGAGCGUUGUCCGGAAUUACUGGGCGUAAAGAGCUCGUAGGCGGUUUGUCGCGUCGACUGUGAAAACCUGGGGCUUAACUCUGGGCCUGCAGUCGAUACGGGCAGACUUGAGUUCGGUAGGGGAGACUGGAAUUCCUGGUGUAGCGGUGAAAUGCGCAGAUAUCAGGAGGAACACCGGUGGCGAAGGCGGGUCUCUGGGCAGAUACUGACGCUGAGGCACGAAGGUCAGGGGAGCAAACGGG
rnacentral:rRNA from 1 species